CCACAUUUGAUUUGAACAUAUAUGAACCUGUCUUGUUCUAAGUCAGACCUUUGUUCCGUCUAGGCCAGGACUAUCUACUGGUGGCCCUCCAAGCUCUGAAAUUGGCAGGGUGAGGUGGGUGCAGGUCCUUAAUCCUGGAGCCGGUGGCUGGCUCAGGUGUUCUCCUGACAACGCUGCGGGAACUAGGGAACCAGCGGAGAGGUGAAGCGUCUGGGGAGCCCCCACCCCACCUCCCGCAGCCCUCGAGUGCCCUUCUCUGCAACCCAGCUGGGGACUCUGGAGAGCAGCUUCCAACAGACACGUUAUCUGAGCACAGGGCAGGUGAGGGACGUCGCCCUGCUGCUGGGGCUCACGGAGAACCGGGUGAAGAUUUGGUUCCAGAACCGGAGAGCCCGGGAGAGGCGGGAUUUCCUGAAGCAGCACGCAAAUGGUAGUGUUGCCGUGAACGGGGACCCUGUGCAGGACCAAGCCCGCUUGGGCUGGCGCUAAAACGAGGGUGGGGCAGCAGGGAGCGCCAGAGGAGGUGCAGCUGCCUCUGCUUCCCGGCAGCCGCUCGGGUCCCAUCCGGCCCUGGUGUUAAUGAGAACCUGCCCUGCCUGCAGGGUGGCCAUUCAUCAGGUAGAUGAUCCCCCCUCAAUAUAUAUCCUCAGCUUGUGCAGGAGGGAGAAAGGAAACCUGGCUUCUAUUGCCCCCUUGUGGCCUCUGGGGAUACUGCAUCCAUUUCCCCUCCAAAGCCAGAUUUAAACAAACAAACAAACAAAAAUCCUUAAAAGGAGUAGGCAAAUCCAGAUUUCUAGGGUAGGGAGUAACUUUUAGGGGCAUUGGCAGGAAAUGAAAAAUGGGAACCUGGCCUUUGUUUUCAGGCUGGAGUUAUGCAGAAUCUUGAAGUUUUGACCAAGCAAUUAAUUUUUACAAAUGGCAUAAUGUGUGGAUUUCCCAUUAAAUCGGAUACUGUGGACUGAAUUUGAUUUUAAGCUUGCAAUACCUAUACAUCUGUGAAUUAAGAGGAUGGUGUGUGAUCUCUUUGGCUUGGUUGUGCUGUCUGGGAGCCAAGACGUCCAGUGUGUUAAGGGCUAACCUGCCCACUCUGCAUUAUCUGGGAGUAGAUUUUGCAGUGCACACAGCCCAGGUGGGGGGAUGAAGUGGGGCAGCCCCUGCCAUGAAGGGGCUGCCCCUCUCUGUUCAGGUUUUUGCUCUAACCUCUCAGCUCCCCGAGCUAAAACAAACACUGAGUGGGGUCCAAAGGCUACCACUGCAUAAUCUGUUUGGGCAGGUUGCAUGGAGGGCGGGGGAAUUAUGUUUCCCAUCCCCUGCUGUCUUUUCUUCUUGGGAUGGGGGACUUCCCAAGAUCACUGAAUGGAGCAACCCACAGACUUUAAGCAGGCCAAGCCUUCCUUCCCUCUUUACCACCAUGCCAGGAAAAGCUUCACACGUUUCUGUGGGCCAGGGGCUGCUGCUAAAAGCACAGGAGCUGGCCCAGGAAAAGGAGGUGGCAUCCCUUGACAUGGUAAAAGAGGUCAGGCAAGAACAUGAUGUUGUUCAGGAAAGCAUUAGACCCACACUCUUUGCUGAAUUUAGAGUCCUGUGUGGGGAGAUCACGGCCCUCUCAAGCACAGUAGCAAUUCAGCAAUGAAUGGAAGAGGUGGGGAGAACUAGUCAUACCCCCUUUCAGCAAUUACCUUUUGCAUCCCGAGGCGGGCGCAGAUUGAGGUGCAGUUGCUUCUGGUUCCCAGCAGCUCUGCUUGCUCCUCUCUCUUCCACCCUGCCCGGCGUUAAUGAGAGCUGUGAUAACCCAGACCACACCAUUACAGGACCCUAUAAUGUCAGCCUCGGGGGCUCUUUUGCUUGCUCAUCCUCCAGCGCGAUCUGGGCUAUUAUCAGCCAAUAGUGCCUUUCUGCUAUCAACACAGGGCAAGCAGGUCAGCCUCUGUGCAGAAGAAUAAAUGGACAGAGAUUUGACCUCAGAAUGGGCAGAGUUUGGAACUGGUAGAAGAAAGUGUUAACCUUCCAAGCCACUCUGUGGCAGACCUUAAGGCAAGGGAUUCACAACGGGCAAAAGCCAUGUGGCUGGGGAUGAUGGGAGUUGUAGUCCAACAACGUCUGGGGAGCCAAAGUUGAGAAACCCUGCCUUAAGGGUUCUUCCACAGAAAAACAUCAAAGGGAGAUUAGAGCAAGAGUUGAACCAGAUUGCAUAACAAAGCUCCACCCUAUCUUUGCAGGUGUUGGGACACGCUUUUUAAAAUCACAUUAUGGAGUUAAUGAACUUAGCAUUUCUAGGAAAUUAUCAUUCAUUACUGCUUUUGCGAUGAUCACUGUUGGUCUAUAUUGCCUUCUAGUCAGAAGAUUAGGGCCAUUGCAUUUCCUGCCACUUGACACCCUAUU